CGGCGGCGGGUAAGGCGGCGGCGAGUGCUUCGGCGCUGGGGUCCUGCUCUGCAGCUGCGCCGGGGACUCCUGACGCCGCUUCUUCCCCCCACUCCCGGUUGCCUGAAUUCGGAUUAGGCGCUCCUGUGUAGACGCGCGCUGGGGUGAUACUGGUUCUGUCGGGUCACCGGGCGCUGUGGGGGUUGGUGCCCGCGGGGCCUGGCGGUGGCACGUUCCCCGCUGCCUGAGUCUAUAUGAGAUGCUUUUUACAACUGGGAGAAGAAUGGAGACAAGGGAAUUAGAUGCAAGUUUCUUUAAAACUGCCCUGAAUAAAGAUGAAGCUGAAAAUAUUCUCAGUGAAAUUAGUAAUCUUAGCAUGACUGAGAGAGAGAAUGGCAAAUACAAGAAAAAAUCUGAAAUCAAAUAUGAAAGCCUUUGUCCAGUUCCUCAGAAUGUUCUCUGUCUUGGUCUGAAAACUCCAAGAAGUGCUUCAGGGAUCCUACAACUGUUGCCAUCUGAAGCAACUGAUUUUGUGGGAGAAGAACAUUACUCUUUGAAAAAAAUUCCUGAAUUAGGAGAAUGGAGUAUAACAACUUUCAAAGACCAUAUUAUUCCCACAGGAAGAGAACUUCCUCGUACCCCUAAUUAUGUAAAUCAACAAGGGAAAUUUUUAUUAGAAGCUUUAAAGGACCAUAUGGUACUGAAUGAGAGACAUCCAACAGAUGUAAUUGAACCUAGUCGUUCAGAAUGUGAUGCAUUUCAAUUACAAGUUGAUGCUGAUCUGUUAGAGAAGCUUUUGAAGGCGGAGACUUCUGUAAAGACUCGUGCUUCAGAUACAUGGGUUUACCCCAGGAGAAAAUUUUCCAUUUGCCAACAUACGCAGCAGCCGGAUGACAAACACAACACCACUGACAUUCUAGAAAAUGGCAAAGAAGUGGCAUCACCUAUUGUUGAGGAUGAGCGAAAUUUACAUGAACAAAUUGAACCGCUGCAAGAUUGUCCGGUACCAAAGUGUUUCACUACUACUUCAACAAACAGGAGAAUAAGUGAGAUACCAGUUCAAGGGUUGAAUGAGAUGAAUGUAUCAAUGAUGAUUAACAGAAUAAAAGACUACCAAUGCACUAAAGAAGAUAUAGAAUUCCUUCGAUACAUGAAAAAUAGAGAACAAGCACAGAAAUUGAAGGCAAAAUAUUUACAUCUACAAAAGGAACUAAUCAGUGUGGUUCAGACAAAGGAGCUGCUCCUGGCACAGCGAAAGAAAGUGCACGAAGAGAUUGUACAUAUGAAAGCCUCUUAUGAUAGAACAGUCGAACUUGGAAGAGCAUUCCUGGGUAAGAGAACGGAUCCUGACGCUGUUGAAAAGUUGCCACCAAAAGCUGUGCUUGGGCAACUGAAUCCUGUGAAACUGCAGCUUACCCAACAGAAGGAGAAGGCUGAACUUCAGGCACUACAAAAAGAGCUAAAGAUGCUAAAACAUUCCCUUGCCCAGUUGCCUCAGAAACAGGAAAUAAGGCUGGAAAGAGGGUUUUGUAAACAACGGAUACAGGAAGCAGAACACAGCGUACAGCAAGCACAAGAAGAUGUGGAGCAUCUGAAAUGCAAAAUUGAAGCAGCAAGGUCAAAACUAGCAGAAGUUCAGGUACAGCUCUGUAACACAAGAGUUGAAAUAGAGAAGUGGCACACUUUAAAAGAGAAGACUACUGUUUCUCAGGUGCUGGAAAAUGUCCAAGGUUUUGACAAUGAUUAUCUUAAGAGAAGACUUAACAGACUCUUGCGAAGAACAGAUAUAUUUUUAGAAAGGGAAAAAAUUAUCAAAAGACUUGGUCUUUUGGAAUGAGUCUGCAUCAAAUCUCAGAUGACUAGGUCGACUCAGCUUUUAAGGCUGGCAGUAUACGUGCAUUUUUCUCCACGUUAUAUAAUCUGUUUACUCACAAUUUAGAUGCAGCCAGAAUCAUAAGAUUUGUGGCUAAUGACUGUUUAGAGAGAAAGACAUAAGAGAACUCUAAUGUGCUUAAACCAUCAAGUGUGAAAGCCAUCAGGAAUUUUGCACUGAAGGGAGUCAGUCUGCUGCAUUUUGGCCUUGUAUUCUGGAUUUACAAAGACAAACUAAAGCCACUCUGGUUUUGAAUUCACAGACUAUCUAUAUAUAAAGCAGUACUGAGACACCACAAGCUUUCUUAAGCAUGUACUUACAAGUAUUAUAAUAGUCUAAGAAACAUUUUUAUAGAAAGCAUCGAUACAGACAUGAAAUUAAAAGAAGAGUAUAAAGAUCAGAGCAAAGAUGGAAAGAGGAGAACAAAAGUUUGUUGUAUGAAAGUUGAUGUUCCAGUGAGACUGUUAUCUGGGAUUACAAAGAUCAUUCCUGAGACAGCUGUAACACUGAACUGACCAAUUAAAAGAGGAUAGUUUAGGAUUGUCUUCUUGAAGUAUAGGUGUUAAAGAACAUAUCUGCUCCACCUAAAACUAAUUAAAUUUUGACAUGAGGCAGAUUAACACACAUGCGCGCGCGCACACACACACACACACACACACACACACACACACACACACACACGGAAAAGGUGAAACAACUUUGAAGAAUUAAUGCAGAAGAGAAAAAAGAGGAGAAUGCAACCUCUCAUGCAAUGGUUGCCCUACACCUGCGGACUGGUGGUGCAUCGCAAAUCCCAUCCUGCUGGGACACAGCACAUUGCCAGGCCAUGCCCCCAACUUUUAAUUAGUCCCACCCACAGGGGUUCCCCAUAAGGGGAUUCCCUUCCCACCCACUUCCCCAUGCAUCAGCAGGGUGAAUGGGGCAGCUGGCAGCCAGGUGUGCCACAGCUGGAGCUGGGGCUGGGGCAGCCUCACUGUGGUCCCAAUUCCAGCUCUGACAGCUGCUAUGCAGCCUGCCUGGUGGGGCUGCGUGGAGAGCAGCUGCGGUGCUGGGGAGGGGGAGACGACGGGAGGGAGCCAGGGCCUGCUGUGUGGUUGGGGGGAGCCAGGGUUUUCUCCAGCUGCAGAAGCCAAGGCUGCCCAGUGGGCGGCUGCUCUGGCGGACAGAGCUGAAUAACAGAGGUGUCAGGGUUGGAGUGUAUGAGGGGCCUGGGGCACGUAUUUUGGAGAACCGGUAACAUUUUCUGUAAAUAAUGACUAUGCAAAUAAAAUGUUGCUGGUCUGCUGAAAGUUUGUGAAUGGGUUUGCCGGUCCCCGGUAUAAAAAAAAGAUUGGGAACCACUGAUGUAAAGGACAUCCUCAGACCCUGACCAAGACCAACUGUUUCAUAGUUAUCAGUCCCUUCAUGUAACAGUUGCCACCUGCUUGUUCCAAACUCCAUUCCUGUUCAGUAUGCAGUAGAACUGCAAAACAUCAGUGAAUUAACAGCUAUGUAGCAGUAGCUGACACAAACAUCCCACUCAUUGAGGCUUCAAUCCAGGAAAGCAAUAAGCACUUGCUUAACUUUAUGACUAAUAGCCCAUUUGACUAUUCAUAAAAGUUGAGCUUACACAUAUCUGCUGUGCUGGAUCACAACCCAAAUAUCUUAGUAACAAUAUGGAGGAAAUUACAAAGUAGGGGAAAAAAACCCAGAAAGCAGAUUUAAAAUAAGCAUUGCUACUUCCGCCAUCUAUAUUGUUAAAAUUAAAUAUUUUUGAAGCACACAGAUUAAGUGAAUGAAACAUGAAUGCUGAAAGAGUACAUGCAUGGAUAUUAGUAACAUGCACACAACAUAGAAGAACGAAAGAUGGCUACUUUCUCCUUUUGUUGUCACAUACCCCAUUUUAGUAAAGUGAAAAGUAUAUAUUUGCUAUAAAGUCUGUCCAAAGUCUCUCCUAAACAAUGUGAACACAUGCUGUACAACAAUGGUAAGAGUGUGGGGAAUGAGACAGUAGAAAAAGGAACGUGAAAUAUUAUGCACUCAAAACCACACAGUCAUAAAUGAGAUUACAAUCUGAGGAUAUUAUACUUUUGUAAUUCAUGGACCUUACAGCUCUAUUCAUCACAUGGCUGCCUAUGGACUGAAGACAAUCUAAGCCCUGCAUAUAUUCAACUAGCAUUAGAGUUGGAAGAUCUCUCAUAGUUUGUUCUCUAUUAGUGACUAGGAAAACUGAGAAGAGAUCAGAUGUAAUGAGAGGCUGCUUGCACACAAAUGUAGCAUUUAUACUGAAGUGUAUCUUCCUUAUAUCUGUAGUUAUUGUAAAUUACAUCUGUUUUCUUUAAGAUCACACAUAGCCAAGGCAGGCUUUCACAUCUCCUUACAAGAAAUGACAACUCAGGGAAAAAUCCCAAGAAAAAAUGCAGUUUGAAAUGCAAAUUAGCAAUGUUAGAUAUCGUGUAAUUGAAUAGUCAUGUAACCACAUCAAACCUUAGUGGUUACACGACUAUUGGAUAGUUCCUGGGGCAAGACAAUCAGGAGUGUGGCAUGAGCGAGGGGGGCAGGCAGCACCACGGAGCUGGUGCUGGGAGGGAACCAGCUUUUAAGCCAGCUCCCCCCAGUACUGGCUCCUGUCUGACCCCCCUCACUGCCUCGAAGGCAGGUCCGCAGAGCUGGCGCAUGUAGGGAGCUGGCUAUCACAGGCAGCAGUG